GGCACCUCGAUGUCGGCUCAUCACAUCCUGGAGCUGGAGAAGGUUCCAAGGGUUGGGCUGUUCGCCCAUUAAAGUGGUACGUGAGCUGGGUUUAGAACGUCGUGAGACAGUUCGGUCUCUAUCCGCCGUGGGCGUAGGAUAUUUGAGGGAAGCUGCACCUAGUACGAGAGGACCGGUGUGGACGAACCUCUGGUGCACCAGUUGUCACAUCAGUGGCAUCGCUGGGUAGCUAUGUUCGGUCAGGAUAAGCGCUGAAAGCAUAUAAGUGCGAAACCUAUCCCAAGAUAAGAUAUCCCUACCGUAAGGUAAUAAGGCUUGUUGUAGACUACGACGUUGAUAGGCCACAGGUGUACGUGCAGUAAUGCAUUUAGCCGAGUGGUACUAAUUAGCCGAACGGCUUUGUCAA
rnacentral:rRNA from 1 species